ensembl:lncRNA
GCCCGCACCCUCUCUGUCUUUUCCAGAGUUCUCCCUUGUGCUUAAAGGCCUGACCUGGGCCACUAACCUUACCUAGUGACAAUGGAAACUGCAGGCCCCAUUCUUGCAAAUCAGAUCCAAGACUCCCGGUGCAGCGGGAACAUAGUGACCUCUGUCUAGGUUACUCUGGGACAGUCAGUCUGGGUCAGCGGACUGGAUGGCUUCAGAGAGCAUCAGAGCAAGACACUGCCACAAAGGGGUCCCGUGUCACACAGCCCUGCCCACACUGCAGCAGCGCACUGGAGCAGGGGCUCCGAGUCCAGCGGGCUCAUUAUCCACCCAGCGGCCUCGAACCCUCCGCUACCCUUCUUAGGCCUCAGUUUCCUCAUCUGUGAAGUGGGGGAUCCUCUAUCUGUCAUCCCUCUUCCAGGGAGUCGAGAGGAUGGAGUGGGGCCCGUAGUCGUUCUCUUCGUCUUUUACAUUGUGUUCAGGGCGGAGCGUGGACGUGGGGAAAAUUCAAGUCCUUGCACCCGUGGGCCGCGAUGGGAUGCCUCCCUCGAAGACGUAGCGGUUUGUUAGAGUUCUUCCGCGGUCGAACAAGGGGUUUCCAGGCUCCCAGGCCCGCGCCGUGCGGCUUCUUUUGCUCCUUUUGCUCUUUAGCGCGGCACGGGGACCCCCGGAGCUCGGUCGGGGCAACGUGGCUUCGAGGGCUUUCUUGCCAUGGGUUCACUUAAACGCCCUGAACGGAGCGUGACCAUCAUCCCGCGGACCGGACGGAGAAACCGGGGCCGAGAGGGACGCCUUCGGCCUCCCGCCACCCCACCGCUAGCCUCUUGGCUCACCUCGAGGAAGAAGCGUUUCCCUGUCGCGUUUUCCCCUGUCCCAGUCCCAACCCUCCCGCGAGUCCCCGCGGCGGGGAGCUCGGGAGCCGGCGGGGACAUCCAGGAGCUCCGCGGCGGCGGCGGCGGCGGCGAAAGGGGAGCAGCUCGGAGCCGGGACCGAGCCUCAGCCAGGGCCUCGGCCUGGCCCCCAGCCCCAGGCUAGCGCACCCACGCUUUCUCGGGAGCUCAGCGAGCGUGCGAGCCCAGGACCGGGAGCCCGAGGCGUGAUCCUCGUUUCCUGAGACGGAGGCGGGCCGGGCGGCGGGAGCCGGCUGGACUCUCGGGGGAAGCCGCGGCCGGGGGAGGCGGGCGAGCAGGCGCAGUCGGUUAGGCUCGGGCGUGGGCGCAGCAGCAGCCCUCUGGGAUCGUGGGCGUCCGGGUUUUCCGGGCUGGGUCCGAGCUCUGCGCAUGGCUCUGGGACUGCGAGAAGCCGGGAUGUGCACGGAAGCUUGUGGAUGUUCAUUUCGGGUCAUAGAGUUCGUGGUUUGCACGCCCAUCUCAACAGGGCCGAGGAUUACGCCCCUUUCCCCCUCAGAGGGGAAACGCACGAGACUGGAUUCUAGUUCAGCCACCUGAGGCACAGGAAGAGACCCUGACUUGUCCCCCUCCCCAGGCCAGCCUCGCUCGGAGCCCAGGCCUCUGAUUCCGAUCCCUGACGCCUCCUCGCCCCGCAGCUCCGUCCCGGCGCCCCCGGCAGGGGCGCAGGGUGGUGAUGGGGGAAUGGCUAGAGCUUGGCACGGUGCCUCAGCCGGUCCCCUGACGACGACCCUAGCCCAGCUGGCUGGUUGCUCAGCGCCCGAUGCCGAGGCCGGUGAUGGCGCUGGGAGCUGGAAGACACUUCUCGCCGCCGUCCCCGCCCCGCCGCAGGCGCAGGCGGCCCAGCUCUCCUCUGGCCUUUUUCCUUCGGGCUUUUCUGGGUCUCUUUCUCUGUCUUGGGUCCUAAGAGUGUCUCUCUUGGUCUCACUGACCGUCUUUUGGCCUCUGUGUACCGAUAGGACUGCACGUGUCCUCCCUCCCUCUCUGGGACGAUCUCCCCAGAGUCCCUCCUGACGAUAGCCCGCCGUGGGAUGUGAGGGAACGGCACCCUCCAGCUAGGGCCUGGCUGCCCUACCAGCCUAUUUCCUCCUGGAGGAUGGAGUGGACAGUGGUAAGGCCAGGACAGACAGACCUCGGCACAGGAGGAUGCUGGAGCAGGUGGGAGUCGUGAUCCUCCGCCUUUCUGCGCAAGCGCCUCUCAGGGCCCUCCGCUCCCUCUGCUCUGCGGAGCCUGGCCCUGGGAGGGGACGCAGGUUCCAGCUGUGCCGGCCUUCGGGACACGUUGAAGGCUCCAAACAGUCCUUGCCAGCAGGGUUUUCCUGCUGUCUGUCUCCGUACAAACGGGGCCACUUUGCUGAUCAGACGGCCGCAUGGCUCCCCGUCACGCACCGGCGAGGUGGGGCGCACUUUCCCUGGGCGGCAGUUCAGGGCCCUCCCUGCACAGUGCAGACGCCCCCACCCCUCCCUACUGCCCUGGUCUUCCCUGCGCCCGGCUCCGGAGGACUCCCCGCCAAGCCAUCUGUUCCAGCACCACCGACUAUUGCCUGUAUCUGGUUCGUGGAACUGCCUCUGAUUUUGGGGGCAUUUGCUGGCCAGAGAUGAUUGACAUCGGCUUUACCUGAUGAAUGACUAAGACCAAGCUCAGGGAAAGAUUUGCCUUGAGCUAACAUCUAUUGCCAAUCUUCCUGGGGUUUUUGGUUUGUUUUUCUUUUCCUCCCCAAAGCCCCAGUGAAUGGUUAUAUAUCCUAGUUGUACACACCUAAGAGAGGACUGUCUGGGUCAGAUGUCUCUAAGCGUCAGGAAUCCGAGUGGAGCUUAGCUGGUGUGGCUGGCAGCAUUGGCCCAUCCGAGCUUGAGGCCGCUUUGGAGUAGUGCCGGAUACGGGAAAACUGGAGAGAAGAAGGAAUAAGAGAGCAGAGGGCUGGAAAAGGGGACAGAAGGAAAGACGAGUUAAGGGACUGGAAAGAAUCAGUGUUUGGAAGAAGGCGGUUGUUGCUAAACCACUUUUCAGGCUGUACUUCUGCUGGAUGGAGGAGCUUCAAUCGUCUUGAUCAAUGAGCCUGUAUCAGGCUUUGAACAGGAGCUAUAGAUAUGUUAGUUCAUUUACUCAAUCCUGCAACAGUCCCACCUCCCAGAUUUAGAAACUGAGAUCUGAAAAGUUAAGUAAGACUUGGCCAAGACCAUAUACCUGAGAUGGCUUUCCUCCCCCAGAGCCUGUGACCUUUCACGAUGGUACCCGAGUAUAUUCCUGUGUUACUCUGCUUCCGACUCUGCCUCACAGCAUCCUUUGCCUCCUGGGUCCGUGAGACGUCUUCUAGGAAGUUCUAGUGGACAGUAAGAAAGACAAAUCCUCUGGUCUCCCUGGUCUCCCUGGUCUCUAGUUAUGGCAGCCUGCGUUCUCUUUGAAGACUGAGCUGUGUUACGGAACUCCCUCCUCCCCCGACUCUAACAGGCUUAGUGGCCUCUGUGAGGUCUGCCUCAAUCAGUGAAAGGACAGUAGGUCUCUGCUUCUGGCUGCCUCCGUGAAUGAUUUCUGCCCCGUAGUGGAAGAGUCACUGGUGGCUCGGCCUGAGAUGUCCUCUACCUGGUCAGCAUCCUCUGAUGUAACACCCCUAGACACAGUGAAUCUUGGAUAUGAAGCUGCUUCGAGUUUGAGCUUCACGUAGUGAGUGGUUUGGGCAGGUCCACUGUCCCUCCAGCCUCAGUUCCUUCAGCUGUUGAACUGAGGAGGAAGAGGUGGCUGAAUUAGUGGUUCUUUCUCCAUGGAAGUGAAGACUGACAAGUAUGCUCCAGUCCGUAGGAGCUCUAGGCAUUGUCUAUGGAUUAAAUAGUUUGUCCGUCUUGCGUAUAUACACAUGACUACAUUUCAAAUGUGUGUAAAGCUGUGUGAGAAAUAAAAUGCAAAUUCAUUUAAAGAU